rnacentral:rRNA from 1 species
CCUACGGGAGGCAGCAGUGAGGAAUAUUGGUCAAUGGGCGAGAGCCUGAACCAGCCAAGUCGCGUGAGGGAGUACUGCCCUAUGGGUUGUAAACCUCUUUUGUCGGGGAGCAAAAGCCGGACGUGUCCGGCUGUGAGAGUACCCGAAGAAAAAGCAUCGGCUAACUCCGUGCCAGCAGCCGCGGUAAUACGGAGGAUGCGAGCGUUAUCCGGAUUUAUUGGGGUAAAGGGGUGCGCAGGGGGAUUGUUAAGUCAGCGGUCAAAUCGUGGGGCUAAACCCCAUCCAGCCGUUGAAACUGGGGAUCUAGAGUGUGCGAGAGGUAUGCGGAAUGCGUGGUGUAGCGGUGAAAUGCAUAGAUAUCACGCAGAACACCGAUUGCGAAGGCAGCAUACCGGUGCACAACUGACGCUCAGGCACGAAAGCGUGGGUAUCGAACAGGAUUAGAUACCCCAGUAGUC